ACAGCAAUACUGGAUCCCUGACCCACUGAGCAAGGCCAGGGAUUGAAUCCUCAUGGAUACUAGUCGGGUUCACUUUCUGCUGUGCCACAACGGAAAUUCCACAUAUUUGGCUUUUGAACUCUCACAAGUACAGAGACUUGCUCCCUGACAGAGGAAGCUCUCAUCAGGGUUGCCAUUCCCACACCCACAACCAAGAGACAACUGCAGUGGCUCCUGGGAAAGGCUGGGUUCUGCAGCUUUUGGGUCCCCAGCUUCAGAUUCUUUGCAAAACCCCUUUAGGAAGCUUUUAAAGGAGGAGACGGUGACUCUCUGGACUGGACUAGGGAGUGCCAUAGGGCAUUCUAGGUUGUCAAAGAAAAACUGCUAGCUUUAGGUCCUUAGGUCUUCCAGAGAUCAGGAAGCCGGGCUGACUUAUUUGUUCAUGAGAGAGACAAGGAAUCAGCCUUGGAGUCCUGAUGGAGAACCCAGGCAGCGUAAGGAGACCUGCUGCAUAUCUCAGCAGUUACAGUUACUAAGGGCCAGUUGGUCUUUGGAUCACAGCAACUAUUUGUGAGCUUAUACAAGAAGCAGAGGCGUUUGCCCUAGGACACCCGAUCACGGUGCAUCCCCUCACUGUGUACCCCCCGCCCCCCCCAGAACAGAAGGGGGAUAUUGGUUAACAUCAGGAAGCUUAGGAAAAUAUCAGGCUGUAUUACUGGGGAAUCCCCAUGUUCCUCAAAGCAGCCUCUACCUUGAAUCCUGCCACUGAAGCGCCUAAGCAUGACUGUAUUCAGAGAGCUGAAUGGGUCAUUUCUAGCUGUCCUGUUCAGCUGGACAGACUGGCCACUGGAGGACCCAGACCUUGCAGUGCUGACGGAUGGAAGCAGCUUUAGAAUGGACCAGGAACAGUGCAAAGCUGGGUAUGCGGUGGUGGCUCAUUGAAAGACACUGGAAGUGGAAGCCCUUCUCCCGGGUGCCUCGGCACAAAAGGUGGAACUUCUGGCUCCCGACAACAGCCCCCCAUCUAGCUCCCCCAGUUGCCCUGCUUUGAGUGAAGAUUGCCAGCCCUGAGGCAAGCUCCAGUUGAACCCCAAAGACAGUUGUAUGAGAGACCCUUCCUGCAUCCCAGAAAUGGUUUAAGAUCUGGAGGGAACACACAUUAAGGAACUUAAAUACCGUCAGGUAUGUAGAAUCAUUGGGAGCUACUCUAACUGCUCUAAGUUUGCUUCUAGCCCGUAAAUGUUUCCUACAGGUGUUUGCUUGGGCCACUUCUGUCCUGGAGACUAGGUCCUGCUGAAAUCUCGGAACAAUAAACUUCUAGAAGAGGAGCUCCAUCCUUGCUGAACUGAACCUUAUGAGGUGCUCUGUAUGCCCCUUCCCUGGCGAAGCUGAAGGGAACUAAGCCAUGGACCCAUCACACUGAAAUUAAGCUGGUCCCACAGAGAUCAGUGAAGCCACCAUGCCCUGUGUACAGAACACAGAUGUGGUAACAAGCCUUCUUGGGCUCUGCAAAUGAGGGCAUGGGAGUGACACCCUAAAGAUGGCAGAGGAACAAGACAGAAGGAGCCUUGGUCCUUGGACAAUCUAAUACAACAAAGCGGCCGUACCAGCCAGGAUGUGUGUGUUCCCCACUUCAAACACAGGUUCACCAUAUAGUCCUCAUGGUUUCCUCGGUUGAGAUGGAACUCUUUGGGGUAAACCAACAUGAAGGCAAAAAGAACCAUCAGGACCUCGACUGAAUCCUUGCCUCGAUCCACAAAGUCGCCGUUGAACACAUAGGCCCGCUCUGGUGACGGGAGGCCAUUCUUCCCGAGAAGGAGGCAAGUCCAAGAAGAGGCAGUGGAAGGAACGGAAGAAGAAGUGAGGUCAGGCCAGUGUGCAUCUGACAGUCACCCCAGCCCUAAAAGCCAACUCUGUGCUGUCUGCUCUCCUCCCAACAUGAAAUGUCAAUAAAAGAUGGAAAUAUUUUCUACUAA